rnacentral:rRNA from 1 species
GAUGAACGCUGGCGGCGUGCCUAAUACAUGCAAGUCGAGCGAACGGACGAGAAGCUUGCUUCUCUGAUGUUAGCGGCGGACGGGUGAGUAACACGUGGAUAGCCUACCUAUAAGACUGGGAUAACUUCGGGAAACCGUAGCUAAUACCGGAUAAUAUUUUGAACCGCAUGGUUCAAAAGUGAAAGACGGUCUUGCUGUCACUUAUAGAUGGAUCCGCGCUGCAUUAGCUAGUUGGUAAGGUAACGGCUUACCAAGGCAACGAUGCAUAGCCGACCUGAGAGGGUGAUCGGCCACACUGGAACUGAGACACGGUCCAGACUCCUACGGGAGGCAGCAGUAGGGAAUCUUCCGCAAAGGGCGAAAGCCUGACGGAGUAACGCCGCGUGAGUGAUGAAGGUCUUCGGAUCGUAAAACUCUGUUAUUAGGGAAGAACAUAUGUGUAAGUAACUGUGCACAUCUUGACGGUACCUAAUCAGAAAGCCACGGCUAACUACGUG